UGGGGAAUAUUGGACAAUGGGCGAAAGCCUGAUCCAGCAAUGCCGCGUGGGUGAAGAAGGUUUUCGGAUUGUAAAGCCCUUUCGGCGGGGACGAUGAUGACGGUACCCGCAGAAGAAGCUCCGGCUAACUUCGUGCCAGCAGCCGCGGUAAUACGAAGGGGGCUAGCGUUGCUCGGAAUGACUGGGCGUAAAGGGCGCGUAGGCGGCUUGUACAGUCAGAUGUGAAAUUCCCGGGCUUAACCUGGGGGCUGCAUUUGAUACGUGCGGGCUAGAGUGUGAAAGAGGGUCGUGGAAUUCCCAGUGUAGAGGUGAAAUUCGUAGAUAUUGGGAAGAACACCGGUGGCGAAGGCGGCGACCUGGUUCAUGACUGACGCUGAGGCGCGAAAGCGUGGGUAUCGAAG
rnacentral:rRNA from 1 species